rnacentral:rRNA from 1 species
AUUGAACGCUGGCGGCAGGCCUAACACAUGCAAGUCGAACGAGUGGCGGACGGGUGAGUAAUGUCUGGGCCACUGCCUGAUGGAGGAGGAUCACUACUGGAAACGGUAGCUACUACCGCAUACCAUCGGAUGUGCCCAGAUGGGAUUAGCUAGUGGGUGGGGUAACGGCUCACCUAGGCGACGAUCCCUAGCUGGUCUGAGAGGAUGACCAGCCACACUGGAACUGAGACACGGUCCAGACUCCUACGGGAGGCAGCAGUGGGGAAUAUUGGACAAUGGGCGAAAGCCUGAUGCAGCCAUGCCGCGUGUAUGAAGAAGGCCUUCGGGUUGUAAAGUACUUUCAGCGGGGAGGCGUUACCCGCAGAAUAAGCACCGGCUAACUCCGUGCCAGCCGCCGCGGUAAUUC